GGACGUUACUAACGACGAUAUGCUUUGGGUAGCUGUAAGUAAGCGUUGAUCCAGAGAUUUCCGAAUGGGGGAACCCAGCAUGAGUUAUGUCAUGUUAUCGACAUGUGAAUUUAUAGCAUGUCAGAAGGCAGACCCGGAGAACUGAAACAUCUUAGUACCCGGAGGAAGAGAAAGAAAAAUCGAUUCCCUGAGUAGCGGCGAGCGAAACGGGAAGAGCCCAAACCAACAAGCUUGCUUGUUGGGGUUGUAGGACACUCUAUACGGAGUUACAAAAGAACAUGUUAGACGAAUCAUCUGGAAAGAUGAAUCAAAGAAGGUAAUAAUC
rnacentral:rRNA from 1 species